GGGCCCAUAGCUCAACGGUUAGAGCGACGGACUCAUAAUCCGCAGGUUCGGGGUUCGAAUCCCUGUGGGCCCA
rnacentral:tRNA from 1 species